CCUACGGGUGGCAGCAGUGGGGAAUAUUGGACAAUGGGGGGAACCCUGAUCCAGCCAUGCCGCGUGUGUGAAGAAGGCCCUCGGGUCGUAAAGCACUUUCAGUGAGGAAGAACGCCUGGUGGUUAAUACCCAUCAGGAAAGACAUCACUCACAGAAGAAGCACCGGCUAACUCCGUGCCAGCAGCCGCGGUAAUACGGAGGGUGCGAGCGUUAAUCGGAAUUACUGGGCGUAAAGCGCGCGUAGGUGGCUUGAUAAGCCGGUUGUGAAAGCCCCGGGCUCAACCUGGGAACGGCAUCCGGAACUGUCAAGCUAGAGUGCAGGAGAGGAAGGUAGAAUUCCCGGUGUAGCGGUGAAAUGCGUAGAGAUCGGGAGGAAUACCAGUGGCGAAGGCGGCCUUCUGGACUGACACUGACACUGAGGUGCGAAAGCGUGGGUAGCAAACAGGAUUAGAUACCCGUGUAGUC
rnacentral:rRNA from 1 species